rnacentral:rRNA from 1 species
UACGGGGGGGGCAAGCGUUGUUCGGAAUUACUGGGCGUAAAGGGCUCGUAGGCGGCCAACUAAGUCAUACGUGAAAUCCCUCAGCUUAACUGGGGAACUGCGUGUGAUACUGGAUGGCUUGGAUUUGGGAGAGGGAUGCGGAAUUCCAGGUGUAGCGGUGAAAUGCGUAGAUAUCUGGAGGAACACCGGUGGCGAAGGCGGCAUCCUGGACCAAUAUUGACGCUGAGGAGCGAAAGCCAGGGGAGCAAAGC